rnacentral:sRNA from 1 species
AUGUACCACGCGUACACUCCGGACCCACCUGACGACUGCCCGCUACGUUUUGUUAGCC